CGACUCUCGGCAACGGAUAUCUCGGCUCUCGCAUCGAUGAAGAACGUAGCGAAAUGCGAUACUUGGUGUGAAUUGCAGAAUCCCGUGAACCAUCGAGUCUUUGAACGCAAGUUGCGCCUGAAGCCAUUAGGCUAAAGGCACGUCUGCCUGGGUGUCACGCAUCGCG
rnacentral:rRNA from 1 species